AGCGAACGCUGGCGGCAGGCUUAACACAUGCCAGUCGAACGGGCACUUCGGUGCCAGUGGCAGACGGGUGAGUAACACGUGGGAACGUACCUUUCGGUUCGGAAUAAUCCAGGGAAACUUGGACUAAUACCGGAUACGCCCUUCGGGGGAAAGAUUCAUCGCCGAUAGAUCGGCCCGCGUCUGAUUAGCUAGUUGGUGAGGUAAUGGCUCACCAAGGCGACGAUCAGUAGCUGGUCUGAGAGGAUGAUCAGCCACAUUGGGACUGAGACACGGCCCAAACUCCUACGGGAGGCAGCAGUGGGGAAUAUUGGACAAUGGGCGCAAGCCUGAUCCAGCCAUGCCGCGUGAGCGAUGAAGGCCUUAGGGUUGUAAAGCUCUUUUGUCCGGGAAGAUAAUGACUGUACCGGAAGAAUAAGCCCCGGCUAACUUCGUG
rnacentral:rRNA from 1 species